CAGAGCGUCAGCAGCCAGAGGGCAGUCUGGACAGGAGCUGGGGGAGAACAGGUAGACCAGAAGACCAAGGAGAAGGAAUUUCGAAAGACAUCAUGCAAUGAAACGUCUUCCUGCGUUUGUGGUCAGAUUUCUCCCUGCUUGAACCUUUCAAAGGAUUCCACCGUGACCCCGUGCUCUUAGAACAGAGCCCGAGCUCCUUGGGCACCCGCAAGCCCUGUCUGGAGCUUCCUUGAGGCCAGGGAGACUAGACCUUACCUCUGGAUGCCCAAAGCCCAGCACAAGCCCGGCCCCAAGAAAAAGCUUGAUAGAAUAAAUGUGAUGGUAAAUGAGCCAGAAUCCUGAAGGCUCUCAGUUCCCGUCAGUGCCUGUCUCUGACUGAGCACCUACGAUGCACCUGGAUCCGUGCAGAGCUGGGAGCUUCGCCCCCCCCCCCGGGGGGGGGACGGGAGCCGGGAUGCGACUCAGGCCCUGGCCUGGGCUGCAGAGGAAGGGCAGGCUCUCUGUGCUUGGAGCGGACUCUGGAAGAGCUUCCUGGAGAAGGUACUAUUCGGGCUGCAGUCUGAAGAAGGAAAGAUGUUUCUGAGGAAGAUAUCAGCAUGUUCAAAGGCCCGGAGGUGGGGCUAGGCAAGCAGUUUUCAAACAACAGUAAGCAGCACCCUUUGGCCCAAAUAUGGGCCAGACCAGGGAGGCGUGAAAGGGUGCAGUGAACUCAAACAGGAGGACCUCGAGGCAGCCCUGGGCUCCCAUCUUCCGCGACCGGGGGCGUGUGGCCUUGCUCUGUUCCCUUCUCCUCUGUGCGAGCUGGUUUGCGGCUGAGAGAACCGUGGACUGGAAAUGUGGCAGCUGAGACUGAGACGUGUGGCGCACUCGUCCCUGCCUGCUGGGUCCGGCAGCGCAGACACUGGCCAUUAGCUCCUGGGGAGUGUCUGUACUGUCAUUUUUGAGGCUGCGCGAUGUGGUGGGGACGGGCCCACGCUCUAGGGCCAGACGGCAUAGGUUCAAACCCCAGCUCGGCCCCACACUAACUGGAUCCUGGCACAGGGUCCCUAAGCUUUCUCCGCCGUAGAGAUAAUGUGAACACUUAUCAGGUUGUUGUUGCGGGGGUUCAGUGAGCUCCGACCAGACACGGGGCCCCUAGCCGCGACCCCCAUCCUGGUGUUUCUGCACUCGGUGCUCCAGGCAGCCACUGUCAUCGAUGGCUGCUUUACCUGGUUUAACCGGCUCUCCCCACUGGAGGGGGGGGACCGCACGUGCGGGAGACAGGAAGUCCUUCCCAGGGUCUCAGUGACUUAGCAGAGCUGGAGUUCACUGUCCCCUGAGGGACACUGUCCCCUGUGCCUGCAGGAAGAAUCCUGUAAGUAAGAACACAUACAGGGUUGGAAAGAGCUUAGUCCCGCUCUGUGAAGGGGCUAGCUGGUCUCCCAGCCCUCCCAGCUCUGCUGGCUGUGACUGUCACCCCCAGGGCUGGCCCAGGGGAGUGAGUUAGUCCUGGGCGUGGGGGAUGGCCAGUGCCCCCUCCUCUCAGGCACCGUCUCCCCACUCCUGGGGUCUAGUGAGCCUAGAGUUUCUGGUGCAGGGCUCCUCCCCAUGCUCUCCUGGGCCCUUACUGCUGCCCCUUCUCGGGAGCUCCAGCUCCAGCCUGGGGUCUAUGGCUUCUCAGGGCAAACUGUGGGACCCCUCAAGGGACCCGCUCUGGUCUCUGGGUGGGCCAGUUCCAGCGGCCUGCAUGAGCCUUCAGAGACACUCUGGUGCCAGAUGGCCUGGGUCUGAGGGGCUUUGGGAGAGAUGAGGCCUCCAGCUUUGCGACCAGAACCUCUUCCAGAUCCUCCCUGGUGUUCCAGUCCUUGGGGAGUAGACCCAAGGAGGAGCUUCCAAGGUGUGGGUCAAAGACCCCCUGCACCAGAAUCACCUGGGGCUGGGACGGGGCAGACCCAUGAAACAGGCCGUUCUCUCGACCUUGCACGAAAGCUACUGCAUUCGAGUCCGGGGGACUGGGGUCCGGGAACCUGUGGGGUAGCAAGCUCCCCUGGGGGAUCCUGAACAUUCAAGUGGGAGAAGCUCGGAGUCAAGGGGCAACAGGGUUGGGGAAGCCCUCGGUACCAGGAAUCCUAGUACUGUUUGCGCCUCAAUGCCCCACUUCCUGAAAGAUGCCAGGGAAUCAGUCUGUCCGAUGAGCAAGCCUCAGCCUGAGCCUUCUCCUCUCCCCAGCUGCCUACACUGCUCACACAUCCCCGCAGUUUCUAAAUUCAAAAUGGGGCCAUUUGAGCUGUGUGUCAACUCCCUUCCCCUGGGCGCCGUGCCUUAGGAGGCUGCCCACUGGGGAGGCGUCCGGGCUCCCAUUCUUCGGAGCCUUGCAGGCAGGGGCCAAGGAAGGCACGGGAGGGCACGGGGAAGGCCAGGGGUGCGGGCUUUCCUGGCCUAGAGCCUGCCUCUGACCUUCUGGACACAGCGAGGGCCUCCUAAGCCCCUUUCUCCCAGAAGUCCCCUGCUUUGCCCCCCAUCGCCAGUGGCAGUUUGGGUACCAGCCAACUCACCUGCAGAGAGACACCCGUACCGGGCCCUGGCGCUGGUGCUGGCGUGGGGUGGACGAGUCUGACACCCACUCUGCCCCUGCAGAUGGU